rnacentral:rRNA from 1 species
GGGGUUUCGGACUUCACUCCCAACCCCUGUGACAUACCUUUAUGUUGCCUCGGCGGAUCAGCCCGCGCCCCGUAAAACGGGACGGCCCGCCGCAGGAACCACAAAACUCUGAUUUUAGUGUAACUUCUGAGUCUAAAAAACAAAUAAAUCAAAACUUUCAACAACGGAUCUCUUGGUUCUGGCAUCGAUGAAGAACGCAGCAAAAUGCGAUAAGUAAUGUGAAUUGCAGAAUUCAGUGAAUCAUCGAAUCUUUGAACGCACAUUGCGCCCGCCAGUAUUCUGGCGGGCAUGCCUGUUCGAGCGUCAUUUCAACCCUCAAGCCCCCGGGUUUGGUGUUGGGGAUCGGGCUGUACUCCAGCCCGGCCCCGAAAUCUAGUGGCGGUCUCGCUGCAGCCUCCAUUGCGUAGUAGCUAACACCUCGCAACUGGAACGCGGCGCGGCCAAGCCGUUAAACCCCCAACUUCUGAAUGUUGACCUCGGAUCAGGUAGGAAUACCCGCUGAACUUAAGCAUAUCAAUAAGCGGAGGAA